rnacentral:rRNA from 1 species
GCCUGGGGAGUACGGCCGCAAGGUUAAAACUCAAAUGAAUUGACGGGGGCCCGCACAAGCGGUGGAGCAUGUGGUUUAAUUCGAUGCAACGCGAAGAACCUUACCUGGUCUUGACAUCCACAGAACUUUCCAGAGAUGGAUUGGUGCCUUCGGGAACUGUGAGACAGGUGCUGCAUGGCUGUCGUCAGCUCGUGUUGUGAAAUGUUGGGUUAAGUCCCGCAACGAGCGCAACCCUUAUCCUUUGUUGCCAGCGGUCCGGCCGGGAACUCAAAGGAGACUGCCAGUGAUAAACUGGAGGAAGGUGGGGAUGACGUCAAGUCAUCAUGGCCCUUACGACCAGGGCUACACACGUGCUACAAUGGCGCAUACAAAGAGAAGCGACCUCGCGAGAGCAAGCGGACCUCAUAAAGUGCGUCGUAGUCCGGAUUGGAGUCUGCAACUCGACUCCAUGAAGUCGGAAUCGCUAGUAAUCGUGGAUCAGAAUGCCACGGUGAAUACGUUCCCGGGCCUUGUACACACCGCCCGUCACACCAUGGGAGUGGGUUGCAAAAGAAGUAGGUAGCUUAACCUUCGGGAGGGCGCUUACCACUUUGUGAUUCAUGACUGGGGUGAAGUCGUAACAAGGUAACCGUAGGGGAACCUGCGGUUGGAUCACCUCCUUA